UUCAAAUAUCUCAUGAUUUUUACAUUUUAUUGGAUAAGAAUUACUAACAGAUUUUUUAUGGAUAAAUCCGAAUGUGAAAUGAUGAAAUUCAAGAAGUCAUCUCAUUACACAAAUUGAUCUCCCUGCGACCACUAAGUGCUAUAAAUUUAUCUAUAAACAACAACAAAGGACAUUUAUCAGUUAAAUGUGAAUCAUUAUAGGCUUCCUUGAGGAACACAGUACUCCUAACACCUUUGUUGGUAAUAUAAAAUAUGCCAUGAUGCUUUAUCAAACAAAGCAGUAAUCUAGAUGGCAACAAAUACUCAGAAUGAAAUGCAUCCAAUUGUAUAGAAGUCAACCUCCUUUCCAUAGUUAAGCUAAGAAGUUCAUGAAGCACUGCCACCACACGCUUUCGUGCCUUUGGAUCAGCAGCUUCAAAUCUCCUAGCAUUCAAGUAUGGAGAAGGGAAUUCCAUUCUCUGCCACCUCUCAAGUUCAUCAAGGUAACUCACAUUUGCCCUAAAACCAGUAGGGAAGCAAAUUUUAAACGCAAAUGGACCAAAGAAAUUACCAUCCUUUGAUAUUCUAACCUUCUUCUUGGGCGGAUUGGAGGGAAGAACUCCUUCACAUGUUAAUCUUUCCUCACGGGCAGUGACUGCUAAUGAAGAAUCCCAGUUCUCCAAAUGAAGAUAAGCUUUCCCAUUGACAUCUUUCACCGAAAAAAAUUCUGGGUACUUUGGAAUCAAUGACUUCUUGAAAUCGCUGGGCAAACCUAAUUCAUUCUCAAUGAAUUCAAUCUUUUCUAGUGGCACCCUACAAUCAACUGACAUCAUUAACAACUUCCUCAAGUUCUUAACUAGAACGGGUUCCAUUAACUCCCUAGAUUCAGCUUCCCCACAGGCAACCUUCCUAGCCUUCUCAGUGAGUGUAACAGAAGGAGGCAUGCUACUGCCAGCAUCAACAUGGAAUAUUGAAGGAUACUUUUCAAUGACAGCCAUAAAGUUCCAUUUCUGGACAAACCCAACUUGUUUCUCAAGGUCUCGGAGGAGGAGAUGUUGGUUCUUUUGUGAUUGAAUAAUGGCUUUAAGGUGUAAGAUAACAGAUGGCUUCUUCUGUAAGUCCAUGACUCGAUCAAGUUCAUGGACUCUGUGGUAUAUCUUCUUUUUGGGUCUUCUUCCUCCGCUUGAUUUUUGCUUCAGUGGAACCAACAUUGCGCUUGAUUUUUGAAAUGGGAAUGGGAAUAAGCAGACAUCUUUUUUUGUGUAAAAGAAAGGAUUUUAAAGAUGGAUGUAAGCAAGAAAAGAUGGAUGCUCUAUGCAUGUUGGAGGAGAAACAAAACAGGUUCCGUAGAGAAAAAAAAUCAAACAGUUGGAGUGCAAUAUGGUGAUGCCUUCAGAUAGAAACAGAAAUAAUUGCAUCGAGUAAAACAAAUAUUAAGAAUUUCCAUAGCCGAGCAGGAGGCUGAUUUCAGUACAUAGCAGUAGAAAUUGAAGAUCCAGACCAAAAAAUAUACCAAUCAGAGGGAGGCAGCAGAAGCGAAGAGUGGACUAGGUUGCAUGAGGACUCCGACCACCAUAAGAUGCACACACUAGUCCUUUGCCAAUUGAUACAUAUUUGACAGCAAAGACAGACCAGAAUCUGUCACACUGAACUGCUACAGGGGUGAAUUUGCAACCAGCUCCUAGUAAUCAUACGUUAAACUUGCAGAAGAAUGAAAGUCCCUUAGUCUUCUGGGGGUGUGCUAGUUUUUUUUCUUUUUUUUAUCCUUUUUCAAAAGAGCUAACAAUGCAAUUCUCCACGCAAAGAAAUAGCAGACAAAUGCAGUGGCUAUGCUCCUGAACAGAAUGAUUUUGCACAGCAGAUGUUCGCCAAAAGAAACAGCGAGAGAGAGAGAGAG
rnacentral:misc_RNA from 1 species